rnacentral:rRNA from 1 species
CGGCCGCGUCGACGUUUGAUCCUGGCUCAGAUUGAACGCUGGCGGCAUGCUUUACACAUGCAAGUCGAACGGCAGCGGGGGCUUCGGCCUGCCGGCGAGUGGCGAACGGGUGAGUAAUGCAUCGGAACGUGUCCUUAAGUGGGGAAUAACGCAUCGAAAGAUGUGCUAAUACCGCAUAUCUCUCAGGAGGAAAGCAGGGGAUCGAAAGACCUUGCGCUAAAGGAGCGGCUGAUGUCUGAUUAGCUAGUUGGUGGGGUAAAAGCUUACCAAGGCAACGAUCAGUAGCUGGUCUGAGAGGACGAUCAGCCACACUGGGACUGAGACCACGGCCCAGACUCCGUACGGGAGGCAGCAGUUGGGGAACUUUUCCGCAAUGGGCGAAAGCCUGACGGAGCAAGACCGCGUGGGGGAANAGGCUCUUGGGUUGUAAACCCCUUUUCUCUGGGAAGAAAGUUGUGAAAGCAACCUGACGGUACAGAGGAUCAGCAUCGGCUAACUCCGUGCCAGCAGGCCGACGGUAAGACGGAGUAG